UAAGGAGGGUGCAAGCGUUAUCCGGAUUCACUGGGUUUAAAGGGAGCGUAGGCGGAAUAAUAAGUCAGUGGUGAAAGCCCCGGGCUCAACUUGGGAAUUGCCAUUGAUACUGUUAUUCUUGAGUUCGGUUGAGGUAGGCGGAAUGUUGCAUGUAGCGGUGAAAUGCUUAGAUAUGCAACAGAACACCGAUUGCGAAGGCAGCUUACCAAGCCGACACUGACGCUGAGGCUCGAAAGCGUGGGGAUCAAACAGG
rnacentral:rRNA from 1 species